CGGUUAAGUUAAUAAGGGCGCACGGUGGAUGCCUUGGCACUAGGAGCCGAUGAAGGACGGGACUAACACCGAUAUGCUUCGGGGAGCUGUAAGUAAGCUUUGAUCCGGAGAUUUCCGAAUGGGGAAACCCACCUUCCGUAAUGGGAAGGUAUCCUUAUCUGAAUUCAUAGGAUAAGGAAGGCACACCCAGGGAACUGAAACAUCUAAGUACCUGGAGGAAGAGAAAGAAAAAUCGAUUCCCUAAGUAGCGGCGAGCGAAACGGGAACAGCCCAAACCAAGAGGCUUGCCUCUUGGGGUUGUAGGACACUCUAUA
rnacentral:rRNA from 1 species